rnacentral:rRNA from 1 species
CAGCAGCCGCGGUAAUACGGAGGGGGCUAGCGUUGUUCGGGAUUACUGGGCGUAAAGCGCACGUAGGCGGCUUGGUAAGUUAGAGGUGAAAGCCCGGAGCUCAACUCCGGAAUUGCCUUUAAGACUGCCGAGCUAGCAGGUGAGAGAGGUAAGUGGAAUUCCGAGUGUAGAGGUGAAAUUCGUAGAUAUUCGGAAGAACACCAGUGGCGAAGGCGGCUUACUGGCUCAUACUGGACGCUGAGGUGCGAAAGCGUGGGGAGCAAACAGGAUUAGAUACCCCCGUAGUCCCUGUCUCUUAUAC